GGAGGCGUGGCAGAGCGGUCGAAUGCGGCGGUCUCGAAAACCGUUGUGUGCCUUUGGUGCACCGGGGGUUCGAAUCCUCCCGCCUCCG
rnacentral:tRNA from 4 species